AGCUUGCUAUCUGGCUGACGAGUGGCGAACGGGUGAGUAACACAUGGGUAACCUACCGUAUAAUACGGGAGAGGGCGAAGAAAUUAGGAUUAAUACUGUAUGUGAUGUAAGAUGUAAUGUUUACAUUAAAGAUUAUCGUUAUAGGAUGGGCUCAUGGGCAAUUAGCUAGUUGGUAAGGUAAAGGCUUACCAAGGCGACGAUUGCUAGCUGGCCUGAGAGGGUGGCCGGCCACAUUGGGACUGAGAGACGGCCCAGAGUGGUACGGGAGGCAGCAGCUAAGAAUCUUCCGCAAUGGGCGAGAGCCUGACGGAGCGACGUCGCGUGAAGGAUGAAGGCGGAAACGUUGUAAACUUCUUUUAUAUAGGAAGAAGGAGUGUCAUUAGGAUGCUCUGACGGUACAUUAUGAAUAAGCCCCGGCUAAUUACGUAGCCAGCAGCCGCGGUGAUACGUAAGGGGCGAGCGUUGUUCGGAAUUAUUGGGCGUAAAGGGCACGCAGGCGGUAUGAUAAGUAAGAUGUGAAAUAUCAUGGCUUAACCAUGGUCCUGCAUCUUAAACUGUCAUAUUUGAGUAUAGGAGGGGAUGUUGGAAUUCCUGGUGUAGGAGUGAAAUCUAUAGAUAUCAGGAAGAACACCGGUGGCGAAUGCGGACAUCUGGCCUAUAACUGACGCUGAAGUGCGA
rnacentral:rRNA from 1 species